rnacentral:lncRNA from 1 species
ACGGCAGCAAAGGACCCUGUCUUCACGAUAAACCGUGCAGUAUUUUGAAAACGAACAAACAAACAAACAAAAAAACGCCAUAAAAUCCAUGCUGAACAAAAUCUCAAAAUGUAAAUGCAGACAAGACCCAGUGCGUGCCUGUCUCAACCAUCACUCCAGUCCUGGCCCUGGAAGGAAAAAAAUUCAAAGAACACGUAUUUGGGAGAAACAAAGUAAAAUGUGCAAUCCUAACACAGUCCAUUUCUUUUUGUAAGUGCUUCUCACCACACCUUCAGCACGCACAGAGCAGGCCGCAGCUCCUGCAUCUUCAGCAGCACGCCGACCCGCCCCUCUUCCCCGCUGCACAGGCCACCUACUCUGAGUGUGCAUGCCUGGCUCUGGGCGGAGCACCUGCUCCAGCUCUGCAGGCCGCCCACACCCCGUGCCUGGCCUCUCCUCUUCUGACCUUUCCUUCCCCAUCUCGAGUCCCCUGGUGGUUAUUCCAAGUGUGUUCUUAGAUGUGGACAGACUAUUGCCUCCCGGUCACUGGAGCGUUCUCAAUACUUCAGCCAUCUGUGCAUGAUGGGUACAGUAGGAAUUGAAUUGUGCCAGUUGGUAACGGCUUCAGUAAGGGCUGCAGAGAAGAUACAGAACAGAAACGACCAGGAGCAGAUCCUCACGGAGCCCCCCGGCUAGUGAUGAGGAUCACUGUGCCCUGGACACGCAGACACAAGCAAUCUUCGCAUUGACCUUGUUCUGGGGCUCACUCUAAGCUAUCUCUGAAGAAAACCAUUGCCUAAUCUGGAGCUGCUACUACCAGAAAUAACCAUAGUCAAGGAAAACUCUACGUCCAAGUAAACUCAAGAUAUCAGGAAAUAAGAUUAAAAAGGAGUGUGGGGCUGCCACUGACAUUUUAAAAUCUCCUCUUUGUAUUCUCUAUUUUCAGAAAACAAUUUCAACAUCAAGCAUGAAGUUUAUGAUGAAUAUAGGAAAUAGAAGGAUGGUGAGGAUUGAGGAUUUUGUCUGUGGGAAAUUAUUAUUGUUCUGAUAUUUUAAAACAGAAGAGCCAAACCAAAACAACUGUUCUUUUGACUAAAAAGGUGAUGAGAGAUUUUUAGUGUCCCCACCACACAUGCACACACACACACAGGCACACACAUACACACCUGUGCACACACACACACGUAUGCACACGCGUACAUACAUGUACACACAUACACAUAUACACAUACACACAGGCACACCUGUGCCCACAGACACACAUAUACACACAUGCACACACACGUACACACGUACACACAUACCCAUAUACAUGCAUACACACGUGCGCAGACACACAUACACAGGAACACACACGUACACACAUGUACACACACGUAUACACAGAGACACACAGACACACACAGGCGCACACGUGCACACAUACACACACAUACACGCACAUCCGCGCACACACAAUGGCAACUAUGGGUGGGUUGGAUGUGUUAAUUUCUUUGAUUGUGGUAAUGAGUAUACAAUGUACGUGCAUAUGAAAUCAUGUUCUACACCUUGAAUAUACACAAUUUUUAUUUGUCAAUUAAAUAUUUUAAAAUUUAAAAAUAUUUCCCCUCAGGAAAAAAUUAAUAAACAAAAGUAGCAGAUUGGUUCCUUAGCAAUGUGAAUAUACUUAACACUACUGAACCGUACACUUAAAAAUGGUUACAGUAGUAAAUCUUACGUGUAUUUUACCAUAAUUCAAAACUUAAAUGUUUUUAAAGUGAAAAAGAGGCAGCAAUGGGGUUCUCACUUUAAGCUUCUCACCUCAUUUACCAGUAGGUAACUUGUUGGGGCUUUCCCAGUCAUUCUGCGUUGUCUAUGCAGGCAACUAUUUGCUUGAAUGUCCGUUUUCCAACAGAUGCCUUCCAACACGUGGAACACUCUGGAGUCAUUUCCCCAUGGGCUCCGGCUCUCCCUUCACACUGUGCUUCUGAAUAGUCUUGAAAGCAUUGCAGGAGACGACAGCACUUUCCUGCAGACACAACCACCUUGAGGGUUUCUUCUGACCUUUGCUCCUGAAAUCCUUUGCUGACCUUUCUGACUUUUGCUCCUGCAGCUGUGCUC